rnacentral:rRNA from 1 species
AACGAACGCUGGCGGCAUGCCUAACACAUGCAAGUCGAACGAGACCUUCGGGUCUAGUGGCGCACGGGUGCGUAACACGUGGGAAUUUGCCUCGGGGUAUGGAAUAACUCAGGGAAACUUGAGCUAAUACCAUAUAAUGUCUUCGGACCAAAGAUUUAUCGCCCUGAGAUAAGCCCGCGUAGGAUUAGCUAGUUGGUGGGGUAAAGGCUCACCAAGGCGACGAUCCUUAGCUGGUCUGAGAGGAUGAUCAGCCACACUGGGACUGAGACACGGCCCAGACUCCUACGGGAGGCAGCAGUGGGGAAUAUUGGACAAUGGGCGAAAGCCUGAUCCAGCAAUGCCGCGUGAGUGAUGAAGGCCUCGGGUUGGUUAAAGUACGUC